rnacentral:tRNA from 1 species
AGAUAAUGAAGUAAAAUUUUACAUUUAAUUUCGACUUAAAAUUAGGUAUACACAUUACCCUUAUCUA